rnacentral:rRNA from 1 species
GAUGAACGCUGGCGGCGUGCCUAAUACAUGCAAGUCGAGCGAACAGACGAGGAGCUUGCUCCUCUGACGUUAGCGGCGGACGGGUGAGUAACACGUGGAUAACCUACCUAUAAGACUGGGAUAACUUCGGGAAACCGGAGCUAAUACCGGAUAAUAUAUUGAACCGCAUGGUUCAAUAGUGAAAGACGGUUUUGCUGUCACUUAUAGAUGGAUCCGCGCCGCAUUAGCUAGUUGGUAAGGUAACGGCUUACCAAGGCAACGAUGCGUAGCCGACCUGAGAGGGUGAUCGGCCACCCUGGAACUGAGACACGGUCCAGACUCCUGCGGGAGGCCGCAGUAGGCAAUCUUCCGCAAUGGGCGAAAACCUGACGGAGCAACGCCGCGUGAGUGAUGAAGGUCUUCGGAUCGUAAAACUCUGUUAUUAGGGAAGAACAAAUGUGUAAGUAACUAUGCACGUCUUGACGGUACCUAAUCAGAAAGCCACGGCUAACUACGUG